UUGCAGUGAUGAUACUAUUACCCAGCUCAUUAUGAAACCUCCCUUUGUGGGUAAUCGUGAUAUGAACUUCUCUUUUGUAUCUGAGCAUU
rnacentral:snoRNA from 1 species